rnacentral:rRNA from 1 species
AUACGAAGUCGGACCUGCCCAGUGAGUUUUAAACGGCCGCGGUACUCUGACCGUGCAAAGGUAGCAUAAUCACUUGCCUUAUAAUUGAAGGCUGGAAUGAAUGGUUUAACAAGAAUACACCUGUCUCUUUUUGAUUCUCUAGAAUUUUAUUUUUGGAUGAAAAAGUCCAGAUUCUAUUAAAAGACAAGAAGACCCUAUCGAGCUUUAGAAAAAUUAAUGGAUUUAAAAUGACUCAAUAAUAAUAAAAGGAAAACCAUUAAUAGAUUUUGGUUGGGGCAACCGAGGAGUAGAUAAAGCCUCCUCUAAAUUUUAAAUCAUACUUGAAUUGAUCCAAGAAUCUUGAUCAAAGAAAUUAGUUACCGUAGGGAUAACAGCAUUAUCUUUUUUGAGAGCUCAUAUCGAAAAAAAGGUUUGUGACCUCGAUGUUGGACCAGAAUGUCCUAAAGAUGUAGAAGUCUUUAAGGGU